AGGUAGUAAUAACAAACCUAUUUGCAAAGACGGCUUUAUAUUUUAUUAGAGGAACUUGUCUACUAAUCGACAAUCCACGAUAACUUUCACUUCAAUCCAAAAUUUAUAUACCGCCAUCAAGAUUUUUUUUCAAAAAUACUUCAAAAUAAAAAAUAAAAAGUUAGGUCAAGGUGUAGUCAACAUUGAAGAACAAGAUGAGUUACAUUAAAUACAAUUUAAGGAUUUAAAACAAAAAUUAAACUGAAAUAGGAUUUAAAAGUAACAUGAUAUAAUAAUAAUUUCAUUUGAAUAAAAUAAUCAAAGUGU
rnacentral:rRNA from 1 species